CAAAUUCUUGCAGCCACACACGCACUAAAAGCAGACGCUGCAGGCACCCGAGAAGUCCAGCGUACCAUGACUGUGAAAGAAUGCUUCUUCUAUAGAGAGAAACACAAUCGAAGAGAAAGUGAAAACAAAGCAGAACACUUACUUACGAUCAUGUGGACAGCGAUGAAAGAGAUGGGACCAGGAUGCACCUCACGACGUCCAGAAUAUGAAGGACUGGCUCCGUCUUGUGGAGUCCAUGUCACUGCGGGUCAGAGCUGCUUUGGCAGGAUAUUAGAAGGUUACCAGUUCAAGCCCCACCA